rnacentral:rRNA from 1 species
GAGUACGGCCGCAAGGCUGAAACUUAAAGGAAUUGGCGGGGGAGCACUACAACGGGUGGAGCCUGCGGUUUAAUUGGACUCAACGCCGGAAAACUCACCGGGGGCGACAGCAAUAUGUAGGUCAGGUUAAAGGUCUUACCUGAAUCGCUGAGAGGAGGUGCAUGGCCGUCGUCAGUUCGUACUGUGAAGCAUCCUGUUAAGUCAGGCAACGAGCAAGACCCGUGCCCACUGUUACCAGCAUAUCCUUUAUGGAUGAUGGGGACUCUGUGGGGACCGCUGCUGCUAAAGCAGAGGAAGGUGCGGGCUACGGUAGGUCAGUAUGCCCCGAAUCUCCCGGGCUACACGCGGGCUACAAUGGUUGGGACAAUGGGUAUCUACUCCGAAAGGAGUUGGCAAUCUCUUAAACCCAAUCGUAGUUCGAAUUGAGGGCUGUAACUCGCCCUCAUGAAGCUGGAAUCCGUAGUAAUCGCGUUUCAACAUAGCGCGGUGAAUCUGUCCCUGCUCCUUGCACACACCGCCCGUCAAACCAUCCGAGUGAGGUAUGGGUGAGGGCACGAACUUAGUGUCGUGCUCGAACCUAAAUUUCGCAAGGAGGGUUAAGUCGUAACAAGGUAGCCGUAGGGGAAUCUACGGCUGGAUCACCUCCU